UACGUAGGCAGCGAGCGUUGUUCGGAGUUACUGGGCGUAAAGAGUGCGUAGGCGGUUUUUCUAAGUUUGGUGUGAAAAUCUCCCGCUUAACUGGGAGGGUGCGCCGAAGACUGGAAGGCUUGAGUAUGGGAGAGGUAAGCGGAAUUCCAGGUGUAGCGGUGAAAAUGCGUAGAUAUCUGGAGGAACACCGGUGGCGAAAGGCGGCAUCCU
rnacentral:rRNA from 1 species